GACGAACGCUGGCGGCGUGCUUAACACAUGCAAGUCGAACGGAAAGGCCCUGCUUUUGUGGGGUGCUCGAGUGGCGAACGGGUGAGUAACACGUGAGUAACCUGCCCUUGACUUUGGGAUAACUUCAGGAAACUGGGGCUACUACCGUAUAGGAGCUCCUGCUGCAUGGUGGGGGUUGGAAAGUUUCGGCGGUUGGGGAUGGACUCGCGGCUUAUCAGCUUGUUGGUGGGGUAGUGGCUUACCAAGGCUUUGACGGGUAGCCGGCCUGAGAGGGUGACCGGCCACAAUGGGACUGAGAUACGGACCAGACUGCUACGGGAGGCAGCAGUGGGGAAUAUUGCACAAUGGGCGGAAGCCUGAUGAAGAAACGCCGCGGGCGGGAUGACGGCCUUCGGGUUGUAAAAAGCUUUCGCCUGUGACGAAGCGUGAGUGACGGUAAUGGGUAAAGAAGCACCGGCUAACUACGUG
rnacentral:rRNA from 1 species